AAGGGCAUGGCUGGUUAGCGACCUGCGGAAAGGAUAACCGCUGAAAGCAUCUAAGCGGGAAGCCUGUUUCAAGAUGAGAUCUCCCACCGGGUAAACCGGGUAAGGCCCGUGGCAGACUACCACGUUGAUAGGCCGGAAGUGUAAGCGCGGCAACGCGUUCAGCUGACCGGUACUAAUCGGCCGAGGGCUUGGG
rnacentral:rRNA from 1 species